GAUGAACGCUGGCGGCGUGCCUAAUACAUGCAAGUCGAGCGAACAGACGAGGAGCUUGCUCCUCUGACGUUAGCGGCGGACGGGUGAGUAACACGUGGAUAACCUACCUAUAAGACUGGGAUAACUUCGGGAAACCGGAGCUAAUACCGGAUAAUAUAUUGAACCGCAUGGUUCAAUAGUGAAAGACGGUUUUGCUGUCACUUAUAGAUGGAUCCGCGCCGCAUUAGCUAGUUGGUAAGGUAACGGCUUACCAAGGCGACGAUGCGUAGCCGACCUGAGAGGGUGAUCGGCCACACUGGAACUGAGACACGGUCCAGACUCCUACGGGAGGGAGCAGUAGGGAAUCUUCCGCAAAGGGCGAAAGCCUGACGGAGCAACGCCGCGUGAGUGAUGAAGGUCUUCGGAUCGUAAAACUCUGUUAUUAGGGAAGAACAAAUGUGUAAGUAACUAUGCACGUCUUGACGGUACCUAAUCAGAAAGCCACGGCUAACUACGUG
rnacentral:rRNA from 1 species